CGUCAUUAGGCACGGGGUGUUGUAACUUUGACAACAAGCUUCUGGUUUACUGCAUUGAAUUGGUAGCUCUUUGAAAACUGAACUGGGUAUCAGAGCUUGUUUUUUAAAUGAUUUAAAUACUAUUUUAACACUAUAUAGUGUUCUAAUGUACAACGUAAGUGGUUCCGAAAUAAUACAAGUAUUCAGCUUUUUUCGCUUGGGUAACAAUGUGUCAGACCUGUGUGUGUGAGGGAGAUAGAAUGGGAGUUUGAGGGAGAGGGAUGGAGAAGAAACAAAAGAGGGAGAUGAAGUGGGUGAGGUUGCAGGAGGUAAUGAGAGAGAUCGGUAAAAAGAGGAAGAGUUUGAAUAGAAGACAAGGGGUGAAAUGUUUCGAUGCCCUGGUGAUGAUGUUUGUGGCAUAUUAUUGCUUUAACAUAAAUUACCCCUCUGACCUGGCAGCAACACUGGAGUUCAAGCAGAGGUGCCUAUUCAAAAUCAAUCCAGAUGAGGGGUCCAAAGUGGAGAAGAAUUCAAGAAAGCAGCAUGCAAUCAAUCCAAAAGUUUUUUCUCUGAUCUCACAGAUUGCAAACUAUGAAUGGAGGGAGUAGCCUUGCACACGCACACAAACAGGCACUUAAAUCCACCGACUGCAGCAGUCAAGAAACAGGCAGAUGAUUAAAAAAAACACUUGACCAAAAUGUUAGAACUGAAUGUUUUUACAUUAGUAUGUUGUAAGUUGCUUUUAAGUGAAUGUUUGACACAGUAUAUGUAAAGUUUGAGUUCAAUAAAUGAUUUUGCACUUGGAUCGA